rnacentral:rRNA from 1 species
CCCUAUUAUUUUGGAAUGUUAAUUGUUUGUUUGCCUGAGUAGUAUUAGUUAUGUUCUUGAAACUUAAAGAAUUUGGCGGUACCUCAUUCCUUCCAGAGGAAUCUGUCUCGUUAUCGAUAGUCCACGUUGGACCUUACUUGGAUUGCUUGUGGUUUGUAUACCGCCGUUUAUUGAUUAUCUUUUUAGAGUUUAAGUAAUUUUCUGGACUCUUUAUUUUGAUUUAUUUCAGGUCAAGGUGCAGCUUGUUUCUAAGUGAAUGAUGGAUUACAUUGUUAUUUGUUUUUGGAUUGUUGAUUUUGAUAUUAACAUGAAAUUGGAUUUGGUUGUAAUAAUCUGUAGAUUGUUUUUAUGAUAGUGGUUCUGGGGUAUGUACACAUCGCCCGUCGCUCUCGUUCAAAAUUGUUAAUGAGAUAAGUC